GCCAGGGUGGUGUAGUGGUUUGAUCAUGGACUAGACCUCUGGAGACCAGGGUUCAAAUCUCUGCUCAGCCA